rnacentral:rRNA from 1 species
UGGGGAAUAUUGGACACUGGGCGAAAGCCUGAUCCAGCCAUGCCGCGUGUGUAAAGAAGGUCUUCGGAUUGUAAAGCACUUUAAGCUGGGAGGAAGGGCAGUAAGCGAAUACCUUGCUGUUUUGACGUUACCGACAGAAUAAGCACCGGCUAACUCUGUGCCAGCCGCCGCGGUAAUACAGAGGGUGCAAGCGUUAAUCGGAAUUACUGGGCGUAAAGCGCGCGUAGGUGGUUCGUUAAGUUGAAUGUGAAAGCCCCGGGCUCAACCUGGGAACUGCAUCCAAAACUGGCGAGCUAGAGUAGGGCAGAGGGUGGUGGAAUUUCCUGUGUAGCGGUGAAAUGCGUAGAUAUAGGAAGGAACACCAGUGGCGAAGGCGACCACCUGGGCUCAUACUGACACUGAGGUGCGAAAGCGUGGGGAGCAAACAGG